UACGAAGGGGGCUAGCGUUGCUCGGAAUCACUGGGCGUAAAGGGUGCGUAGGCGGGUCUUUUAAGUCAGGGGUGAAAUCCUGGAGCUCAACUCCAGAACUGCCUUUGAUACUGAGGAUCUUGAGUUCGGGAGAGGUGAGUGGAACUGCGAGUGUAGAGGUGAAAUUCGUAGAUAUUCGCAAGAACACCAGUGGCGAAGGCGGCUCACUGGCC
rnacentral:rRNA from 1 species